rnacentral:rRNA from 1 species
UACGUAGGGGGCAAGCGUUACUCGGAAUCAUUGGGCGUAAAGCGCACGUAGGCGGUUCGUUAUGUCGGAUGUGAAAGCCUCGGGCUUAACCCGAGAAGUGCAUCCGAAACUGGCGGGCUUGAGUACGGAAGAGGGUCUCGGAAUUCCCGGUGUAGAGGUGAAAUUCGUAGAUAUCGGGAGGAACACCAGUGGCGAAGGCGGAGACCUGGGCCGAUACUGACGCUGAGGUGCGAAAGCGUGGGGAGCAAACAGG